rnacentral:rRNA from 1 species
GACGAACGCUGGCGGCGUGCUUAACACAUGCAAGUCGAACGAAGUGGCGAACGGGUGAGUAACGCGUAAUCAACCUGCCCUUCAGAGGGGGACAACAGUUGGAAACGACUGCUAAUACCGCAUACUGAAGGAGGGGAUUGCGUCUGAUUAGCUCGUUGGAGGGGUAACGGCCCACCAAGGCGAUGAUCAGUCGGCGGGCGGAGAGGAUGAACGGCCACAUUGGGAUUGGGAUACGGCCCAGACGCCUACGGGAGGCAGCAGUGGGGGAUAUUGCACAAUGGGCGCAAGCCUGAUGCAGCGACUCCGCGUGAGUGAUGAAGGCUUUCGGUUUGUAAACCUCUUUCGUUACAGAACGGGUAUGUGCAGAAGAAGCGCCGGCUAACUACGUGCCAGCCGCCGCGGUAAUAC